rnacentral:miRNA from 1 species
UUUGUAUUACGUGCGGAAAUUGUUACCAUUUUUGAGCCGAAGAUGGUAACAAUUUCCGCACGUAAUACAAA